AGAGUUUGAUCCUGGCUCAGAAUGAACGCUGGCGGCAUGCCUAACACAUGCAAGUCGAACGAAUUACCUUCGGGUAGUUAGUGGCGCACGGGUGCGUAACGCGUGGGAAUCUGCCCCUUGGUUCGGAAUAACAGUUGGAAACGACUGCUAAUACCGGAUGACGACGUAAGUCCAAAGAUUUAUCGCCGAGGGAUGAGCCCGCGUAGGAUUAGGUAGUUGGUGUGGUAAAGGCGCACCAAGCCGACGAUCCUUAGCUGGUCUGAGAGGAUGAUCAGCCACACUGGGACUGAGACACGGCCCAGACUCCUACGGGAGGCAGCAGUGGGGAAUAUUGGACAAUGGGCGAAAGCCUGAUCCAGCAAUGCCGCGUGAGUGAUGAAGGCCUUAGGGUUGUAAAGCUCUUUUACCCGGGAUGAUAAUGACAGACCGGGAGAA
rnacentral:rRNA from 1 species